rnacentral:rRNA from 1 species
UGGGGAAUAUUGCACAAUGGGCGGAAGCCUGAUGCAGCAACGCCGCGUGCGGGAUGACGGCCUUCGGGUUGUAAACCGCUUUCGCCUGUGACGAAGCGUGAGUGACGGUAAUGGGUAAAGAAGCACCGGCUAACUACGUGCCAGCAGCCGCGGUGAUACGUAGGGUGCGAGCGUUGUCCGGAUUUAUUGGGCGUAAAGGGCUCGUAGGUGGUUGAUCGCGUCGGAAGUGUAAUCUUGGGGCUUAACCCUGAGCGUGCUUUCGAUACGGGUUGACUUGAGGAAGGUAGGGGAGAAUGGAAUUCCUGGUGGAGCGGUGGAAUGCGCAGAUAUCAGGAGGAACACCAGUGGCGAAGGCGGUUCUCUGGGCCUUUCCUGACGCUGAGGAGCGAAAGCGUGGGGAGCGAACAGGCUUAGAUACCCUGGUAGUCCACGCUGUAAACGGUGGGUACUAGGUGUGGGGUCCAUUCCACGGGUUCCGUGCCGUAGCUAACGCUUUAAGUACCCCGCCUGGGGAGUACGGCCGCAAGGCUAAAAACUCAAAGGAAUUGACGGGGGUC